rnacentral:rRNA from 1 species
AGAGUUUGAUCCUGGCUCAGGAUGAACGCUAGCGAUAGGCUUAACACAUGCAAGUCGAGGGGCAGCAUGAUCUUAGCUUGCUAAGGUUGAUGGCGACCGGCGCACGGGUGCGUAACGCGUAUGCAACUUGCCUUACAGAGGGGGAUAACCCGUUGAAAGACGGACUAAAACCGCAUACACUUGUAUUAUUGCAUGAUAUUACAAGGAAAUAUUUAUAGCUGUAAGAUAGGCAUGCGUCCCAUUAGCUUGUUGGUGAGGUAACGGCUCACCAAGGCGACGAUGGGUAGGGGAACUGAGAGGUUUAUCCCCCACACUGGUACUGAGACACGGACCAGACUCCUACGGGAGGCAGCAGUGAGGAAUAUUGGUCAAUGGGCGAGAGCCUGAACCAGCCAAGUCGCGUGAAGGAAGACUGUCCUAAGGAUUGUAAACUUCUUUUAUACGGGAAUAACGGGCGAUACGAGUAUUGCAUUGAAUGUACCGUAAGAAUAAGCAUCGGCUAACUCCGUGCCAGCAGCCGCGGUAAUACGGAGGAUGCGAGCGUUAUCCGGAUUUAUUGGGUUUAAAGGGUGCGUAGGUUGUUCGGUAAGUCAGCGGUGAAACCUGAGCGCUCAACGUUCAGCCUGCCGUUGAAACUGCCGGGCUUGAGUUCAGUGGCGGCAGGCGGAAUUCGUGGUGUAGCGGUGAAAUGCAUAGAUAUCACGAGGAACUCCGAUUGCGAAGGCAGCUUGCCAUACUGCGACUGACACUGAAGCACGAAGGCGUGGGUAUCAAACAGGAUUAGAUACCCUGGUAGUCCACGCAGUAAACGAUGAUUACUAGGAGUUUGCGAUAUACCGUCAAGCUUCCACAGCGAAAGCGUUAAGUAAUCCACCUGGGGAGUACGCCGGCAACGGUGAAACUCAAAGGAAUUGACGGGGGCCCGCACAAGCGGAGGAACAUGUGGUUUAAUUCGAUGAUACGCGAGGAACCUUACCCGGGAUUGAAAUGUAGAUGACGGAUGGUGAAAACCGUCUUCCCUUCGGGGCGUCUAUGUAGGUGCUGCAUGGUUGUCGUCAGCUCGUGCCGUGAGGUGUCGGCUUAAGUGCCAUAACGAGCGCAACC